rnacentral:tRNA from 2 species
GUCCCAGUAGCUCAGUUGGACAGAGCGGAUGCCUUCUAAGCAUUAGGUCGCGGGUUCGAAUCCUGCCUGGGACGCCA